CAGUAGCCACGGGAAUACGGAGGGUGCAAGCGUUAUCCGGAUUUAUUGGGUUUAAAGGGUCCGUAGGCGGAUCUGUAAGUCAGUGGUGAAAUCUCACAGCUUAACUGUGAAACUGCCAUUGAUACUGCAGGUCUUGAGUAAAUUUGAAGUGGCUGGAAUAAGUAGUGUAGCGGUGAAAUGCAUAGAUAUUACUUAGAACACCAAUUGCGAAGGCAGGUAACUAAGAUUUAACUGACGCUGAUGGACGAAAGCGUGGGGAGCGAACAGGAUUAGAUACCCCUGUAGUCCCUGUCUCUUAUAC
rnacentral:rRNA from 1 species